AGUUUGAUCCUGGCUCAGGAUGAACGCUAGCGGCAGGCCUAAUACAUGCAAGUCGAACGGUCUUUAGCAAUAGAGAUAGUGGCGCACGGGUGCGUAACGCGUAACCAACCUACCCGAAUCUGGGGGAUAGCCCGCCGAAAGGCGGAUUAAUACCGCAUAAAACGGCAGACCGGCAUCGGUUCACCGUUAAAGAUUUAUUGGAUUCGGAUGGGGUUGCGUGCCAUUAGCUAGUUGGGGAGGUAACGGCUCACCAAGGCGACGAUGGCUAGGGGAGCUGAGAGGCUGGUCCCCCACACGGGCACUGAGAUACGGGCCCGACUCCUACGGGAGGCAGCAGUAGGGAAUAUUGGGCAAUGGUCGAGAGACUGACCCAGCCAUGCCGCGUGCAGGAUGAAGGCUUUCUGAGUCGUAAACUGCUUUUGCCAGGGAAGAAAAACAGGUGUGCGCACUUGACUGACGGUACCUGGUGAAUAAGCACCGGCUAACUCCGUGCCAGCAGCCGCGGUAAUACGGAGGGUGCAAGCGUUGUCCGGAUUUAUUGGGUUUAAAGGGUGCGUAGGCGGCCGAUUAAGUCUGGGGUGAAAGCCCACUGCUCAACAGUGGAACUGCCCUGGAAACUGGUUGGCUUGAGUACAGACGAGGGUGGCGGAAUGGAUACUGUAGCGGUGAAAUGCAUAGAUAGUAUCCAGAACACCGAUUGCGAAGGCAGCCGCCUAGACUGUAACUGACGCUGAGGCACGAAAGCGUGGGGAGCGAACAGGAUUAGAUACCCUGGUAGUCCACGCCGUAAACGAUGGAUACUCGCUGGUGGCGACAGACUGUCACUGGCUUAGCGAAAGCGUUAAGUAUCCCACCUGGGGAGUACGCUCGCAAGAGUGAAACUCAAAAGAAUUGACGGGGGCCCGCACAAGUGGUGGAGCAUGUGGUUUAAUUCGAUGAUACGCGAGGAACCUUACCUAGGCUAGAAUGCGCGUGACCGGUUCAGAGAUGAGCCUUUCCUUCGGGACACAAAGCAAGGUGCUGCAUGGCUGUCGUCAGCUCGUG
rnacentral:rRNA from 1 species